AAGGACGGCAUUCGACUGCUGGAGUCGGGCAACGGCGCAUCGCCGCCGCCGCCGCUGCCGCCGCCGCCAACUGGGCACUGGGACUUCGCCGCCAAUGGUGGUGGCCACGAUGGCGGCGACGAAGGAUCCCGUACGCAACUGCCGCCGUCGCCGCCUCCGAUGCGGCUACGCUCACCUCUACGGGUGGCUUACGAGGAACUUUGUGUCGCUGAUCCUUUGCUG
rnacentral:lncRNA from 1 species